rnacentral:rRNA from 2 species
GGAUGCGAUCAUACCAGCACUAAAGCAUCGGAUCCCAUCAGAACUUCGAAGUUAAGCGUGCUUGGGCGCGAGUAGUACUAGGAUGGGUGACCUCCUGGGAAGUCCUCAUGUUGCAUUCC